UACGUAGGAGGCAAGCGUUGUCCGGAAUCACUGGGCGUAAAGAGCGUGUAGGCGGUCUGCCAAGUCUGUUGUGAAAGCGCCUGGCUUAACUGGGCGAGGUCGACGGAAACUGGCAAACUGGAGGCCGGUAGAGGAGGGUGGAAUUCCCGGUGUAGUGGUGAAAUGCGCAGAUAUCAGGAGGAACACCGAUGGCGAAGGCAGGAUCUC
rnacentral:rRNA from 1 species